GACGAACGCUGGCGGCGUGCUUAACACAUGCAAGUCGAACGCUGAAGCUCAGCUUUUGUUGGGUGGAUGAGUGGCGAACGGGUGAGUAACACGUGAGUAACCUGCCUCCUUCUUUGGGAUAACGCCCGGAAACGGGUGCUAAUACUGGAUAUUCACUGGUCUUCGCAUGGGGGUUGGUGGAAAGGGUUUUUCUGGUGGGGGAUGGGCUCGCGGCCUAUCAGCUUGUUGGUGGGGUGAUGGCCUACCAAGGCUUUGACGGGUAGCCGGCCUGGGAGGGUGACCGGUCACAUUGGGACUGAGAUACGGCCCAGACUCCUCCGGGAGGCAGCAGUGGGGAAUAUUGCACAAUGGGCGCAAGCCUGAUGCAGCGACGCCGCGUGAGGGAUGGAGGCCUUCGGGUUGUGAACCUCUUUCGCUCAUGGUCAAGCCGCAACAAUGGUUGUGGUGAGGGUAGUGGGUAAAGAAGCGCCGGCUAACUACGUG
rnacentral:rRNA from 1 species